CGGAAUCAGUUCGUCACCACCACCUCACUUGUCUGACAGCAGCUCCUAGUGAACUUUAAAAUUGAUUCUGACAACUGUUUUUUUUAACCUCAAGGCUGUGCCCCAGUUACCCAGAAAUGAGAAUUGGACCUUGAAGUAACAGAGCCCAGGCCAGUCAGGAGGGACAGGAGCACUUCCUUCUUCCAGGAAAGUCUUUUGCACAGCAAGGAGAUGACAGAAGGACACUUGACACAUAUAAGACUUCGUGAGGGAGAAAUAUAUUUAAAACAAUUCAGGAUCAUCUGCGUCUUCAAACUUGGACUGAAGUCUACACCACUGGCUCUCCAGCUCUUAGGUCUUUCAUGGACACCACUGGCCUCCCUGGGUCUCCAGCUUGCAGAUGGCAGGUCACGGGACUUCUCAGCCUCCAUAAUCGCAUGAGCCGAUACCUUAAAAUAAAUCUCUUUCUGGACAUAUUAUAAGGAAUUUUCAAACAGAGUCUGCGUGGUCAUUUGGCCGGGAUGUUGGAAAACCAAGCAAAGUAUUACUUGUCCACCCACACAACAAUACUACUGAGCUCCAUAGGAGGUUCAUGCUUUGGAAGGUGGAUACGAGUGCAUGUGAACAAGGAAACAUGCAGUUCCUGCUGCUGCUGGAAGCCCUCUGGCUGCCCUGAUGGAAGCCAACCUAAAAAACAAGCCGGCACAGAGGAAAGCAAGCUGAGAGAUCCAAGGAGAAACAGAAGAAAAGCUCGGACUUGACCCUGAUUGGACCCACUCUGCCUCUGAAUUUGUUAAUUAGGGCAGGAGAAAAACUGAAAAAAAAAAAAAAUGAUAGAAUGUGAUCAUUGCUGAUUCAUGAUCAAAAGAACACAAGCUGUUCCACUGAACCAGAAAAAGAGAAUGGCAGAACUCUUGAAUAGAAGACAGAUGCUACCUUAUUCAGAUAUUUCUGGGGAAAGGAAAAAAAAGAAAGAAAGAGAGAUUUGAAAUGCAUUUUUAGAAACUUCUGUUAGUUUCAUGAAAUGGAAACUCUUGGAGAACUGGAUUUGUCCACAUGGAGUCGACAAGUCUUCUCUUCCUGGGCUCAGUUUCAUCACCUGCAGCACACGAGGUCGUUGAACAGGAUGGGCUCUAAGGAUCUUUCUGUCUUUUACACUGUAUAAUGUUGAAUAUACUAAUUAUCCUGAUUUGAGCAACACAUAUUGCACACAGGUAUUGAUAUUAAACUCUGCACCCCACAGAUAGAUAUGUACAAUGAACUGUGUUUCAAAAAACCAACAAAAAACCAAACCCAAAACAAAAACUCCUAUGAUGUCUGUUCAAGGUCACUUAUCUUAAUCAAACUCUUCCUUCAGGUUACUCUCACCUUCACAUUUUGAUUUAUCUACGUAGUGACAUCCAGGGUAAAUUCUAAUCAGGAAAUAAAAGUUUGGUAUGGACUUUUCUUCGGAAUUAAAAACAAAAAAUGUGAGCACAAUAGAGGAAUGUAGGACUGAUUAUCAGAAGUGGAUCUACAGGAUGCAGAGUGUGGUAUUGAACAAGGUAGACUUCCUCAUUCAAAUUUAAGAAGAAAACCUUUCAGCAUUUUAACAUUAGAAAUAAAUAGGGCAAAGGUGAAAACAUUGAAACUUUCUAAUCAAAAAGAAUCUGGAAACAUAAUGAUUUACCUCCUGUCAUAGCGAGCAUGGUACAGCAAAUUCUGAAAUUUUGAGUAGAUCAAAAUUAUUGUGUGAUUGAGAAAUAAAGGAAAAAAAAGAUUCAUCUCUGUCUUUAGCUCUUUUUUAGUAAGAUACUAUUUUCUAAAAAAUUAAGAAAAAAAUCAAAUAUACAUAACUAAAGCACAAAUUAAGUAUUCAGAAGAAUAUUUAGAAAAGGGGUAGGUGAAGGGAAGAUGCACUAUGGAAAGAUCAUAGGAUUAAUAACAAAUGAGGAAGAACUAUAAUCCCUAAAGAAUUAAAAACUGUAAAUUACAUGAAAAAUAAUAUUGGUUAAACAGAGAAACAAAAAGAUAAGUGAAUAAAAAUGAAACAAGAUGUACAGCCAUUAUUAUCAUGUAUCUGCCCCCAAGUAAAGCAAUAAUUCAAGGUCAAACAACUUAGAAUAGACAGCACCUAAUAGUCUUGGUAAAUAGAGCAGAUCAAUAAAUAUAUAUUGAUUGGUUGAUUGAAUAAAAACUGCUUGCAGUUAUUUUAGAAAAAUCAAAGUCACUUGGGAAGUUAUGUAUGUAAUUUCUUGAACUAAGCAAAUAUGAAUUCCUUUAGAAACAAUAAAAAGCAAAACUUUUCUGAAAAGUCAUCUUUAAAUCCUAAACAAUGACAUUUUAUAAAAUCAUAUAAGAUAGUGUUUGUAUAUAGCAAAACCUAAAUUGGAAAUAAAUAAAAUGUGGAAAUAAGAAUGUCUCUGGAUAAAAAUGUUACAUUUUACAUCCUUGAUAGUUUUUGAUAGGUGGUUGGAAUAGAGAAAAUCC